UGAUGUGUGACUUUCCCACACAGGCCAAUGAAGAGGUUCAACGUUUCCUGAACGGGUCCCUUUCGACCUAUCAGUACGAUGAACUAUCGACGAUCUUGGACGCCAAGUGCCGAACUUUAAACAAUCUCCUCACUACAUUACAACACGCCACAAGUGAUCAACAAUUCUGUGCCGAGGCCCCUGCAGACAACGGAGACAUAACAAACCAGCUAUAUCUAUUUCCAGACAAAGUCGUUUUGACAACAGAUGUUCUUAAGUUUGGUCCCAUUUUAAGCAAUGUCCUUUUGGCGAGCUCCAUAACCAAGGCGAUCCAGGGUUCCCUAGAGAUACUUCCAACAAAACCAGUGUCCCAGAAAACCAGCGAUCCUCAAC
ensembl:lncRNA